AACGAACGCUGGCGGCAGGCUUAACACAUGCAAGUCGAGCGCCCCGCAAGGGGAGCGGCAGACGGGUGAGUAACGCGUGGGAAUCUACCCAUCUCCACGGAAUAACGCAUGGAAACGUGUGCUAAUACCGUAUGCGUCCUUCGGGAGAAAGAUUUAUCGGAGAUGGAUGAGCCCGCGUUGGAUUAGCUAGUUGGUGGGGUAAAGGCCUACCAAGGCGACGAUCAUAGCUGGGCUGAGAGGAUGAUCAGCCACACUGGGACUGAGACACGGCCCAGACUCCUACGGGAGGCAGCAGUGGGGAAUAUUGGACAAUGGGCGCAAGCCUGAUCCAGCCAUGCCGCGUGAGUGAUGAAGGCCCUAGGGUUGUAAAGCUCUUUCACCGGUGAAGAUAAUGACGGUAACCGGAGAAGAAGCCCCGGCUAACUUCGUGCCAGCAGCCGCCGUAAGAC
rnacentral:rRNA from 1 species